rnacentral:rRNA from 1 species
UACAGAGGUCUCAAGCGUUGUUCGGAAUUACUGGGCGUAAAGGGUGCGCAGGCCGCGCGGGCAGUCAAAUGUGUAAUUCAGGGGCUCAACCCCUGCACUGCGCUUGAUACUUCCGCGCUCGAGCCUUGGAGAGGAGUCUGGAAUUCUCGGUGUAGCAGUGAAAUGCGUGGAUAUCGAGAAGAACACUUAGGGCGAAGGCAAGGCUCUGGACAAAUGCUGACGCUCAGGCACGAAGGCUAGGGUAGCGAACGGG